CACGAGAACAAAAAGACAGAAGGAGGAACGAAAAGAUUGCCACCAACAGAAGAAAUUCAAGCAAGAUUCCAGACCGGAGGCCGCCAAGACCAUCCGUCCAGGGGCAAAACGGAAAAGACAGGAACCCGAAGACUACCACUCCAAGAGGCCGGCGUACAGAGGCAGUGCCUCCUAGAUUAUAAAGCCAAUGGACAGGUUGUAGAAACAAGUGUGACGUCAAAGUUAGUAGGCCCACGUGAUGUUCUCGAGGUUUGGAUUCUCAAUUGGGAAGCCAUUGCUUUGCGGUGUACAUAGACUGGAAUGUUAGCACGUGCUGUCGGGGAGAAGAAAUACUUGAAAAUAUGCCAUUUAAAUGCUGUGUAACUGGUUGUCGGGGAAAUUAUAAAGGUACUGAAAAGGUGCAUACAUUUUUCCUUUCCCAAAAAAUGAUGCUCUUAGAGAGAGGUGGCUAAGAAAUAUACCUAGGAAGGACUUCUCAGCAACUCCAUAUUCUCGGGUGUGCCAUAAACAUUUUCAACCUGAUGACCUCAUCUGGGAAGCAUCAGCUUUCGAUGAAAAAAAAUGGGAAAAUCAUUAAAGCUUCACUGCAG